GAUGAACGCUGGCGGCGUGCUUAACACAUGCAAGUCGAACGGUGAAGGCGGAGCUUGCUCUGCUGGAUCAGUGGCGAACGGGUGAGUAACACGUGAGCAAUCUGCCCCUGACUCUGGGAUAAGCGCUGGAAACGGCGUCUAAUACUGGAUACGAGCUGCGAAGGCAUCUUCAGCAGCUGGAAAGAAUUUCGGUCAGGGAUGAGCUCGCGGCCUAUCAGCUUGUUGGUGAGGUAAUGGCUCACCAAGGCGUCGACGGGUAGCCGGCCUGAGAGGGUGACCGGCCGCACUGGGACUGAGACACGGCCCAGACUCCUACGGGAGGCAGCAGUGGGGAAUAUUGCACAAUGGGCGAAAGCCUGAUGCAGCAACGCCGCGUGAGGGACGACGGCCUUCGGGUUGUAAACCUCUUUUAGCAGGGAAGAAGCGGAAGUGACGGUACCUGCAGAAAAAGCGCCGGCUAACUACGUG
rnacentral:rRNA from 1 species